UCGACAAUGUAUAUUACUAAGAGGAGGAAAUGAAAUUUAGAAGGAUUUCUUUAGGAACGACAAGUAAAUUGGGAACAUACCAUACUUAGAAUCGAGCGGAUCCAUUAUCCGAAUUGUAGUUUGGAGAAGCAUACUCAGUGGCAGACCGAGCCCAAGUUCCAUGGAAGUGGCCACUAGAGUGGGUGAGAUCCCCGUUGUUCCCAUACCUCAUGGAACCACAAGUUGAAGUCUACGAGUUGGGUUGUUAGGGAAUACAGCCCAAAUUGGGCCGUGAACUCCAUUUAAGUCUAAAUACGGGCGAGAGACCGAUAGUGAAAAAGUACCACAAGGAAAAGAUGAAAAGAAAUUUGAAAAAACAGUCAAAGAGUUCUUGAAAUUCUUAGGACGCAUGCAAUGGUGGUCGGCGAUAUGCCCUGGUUCGGUGUAAAAUGAUGAUGAUCCACUCCACCAAUCGACUCAGGGCAUAGACCAGCAUGGAUUAGGGGGAUUCCAUAGCUCAGGAUCUCGAUAUGCUCGUGCAAUAUUGCAUCUUUUAUUGAGGUAGGAUGUGCAUGACUCUGGCAUUCUUCAGCAUUUACGUGCUCCAGAUGUUGUCCUGUGGGCUUCUCAUUCGACCCAUCUUGAAACACUGACCAAGGAGUCUAUCAUAUGUGUGACACAACGAGCGAGUAAACCCAUAAGACAUAAGGAAGCUAAUUAGUGGGAUCCCCCUGAGGGUUGCACUACAGAACGACCUUGAUAUUAUGAGAAGUGUUCGAGUGUAAGCAUACCUAUCGAGACAUGAAAGAUUGUGAACUAUGCCUGAGUAGGGAAAAGUUAGACAAAACUCUAGUGGAGGCCCACAGCGAUACGAUUGUUCAAAUUAUUCUUCUGACUUUGAUAUAGGGUGAAAGACUAAUCAAACCAUUUAGUAGUUGUUUCCAUCUAAAGUUUCCCUUGGGAUAGCAAGAGCUCGCGUGUAAGUUCUAUCGGGUAAAGCCAAUGAUUAAAGUCCAUGGGGGAACAACACCCUCGACGUUUUUUGAAACUUUAAAUCGGUUAGAAGAUGUGACUGCUUUGCUGAUCCAUACCACGAAAUUAAGAUCUCCACUUAGGCUCAUUUUUUAAGUAAAAAUUAGGAUGCACGAUGAACCAAAAGCCAAGUUACAGUGCCAAACUUCAUGCUAAUCUAGGUCCUGUAAAAGGUGUAGGUCAAUUAAGACAACAGGAUGUUGUUCAUGGAUGUCUAAAUCUGUUAAAGAGUGUGUAACAACUCACUUACCGAAUCAAAUAGCCCCAAAAAUGGAUGAUGCUUAAGCGCGCGACCUACACCCUUUUAUCAAGCCAAGUACCAGGUCCCGAUAAGUAGAAGGGUCUGGCGAUCACUGCUAACCUUAGGUACAAGCCUGGGCAGAGCAGCCCUUGUGCAGAUCUUAGUGGAAGUUGCAAAUAUUCUAAUAUGAACUAUGAAGGCCGAAGAAGGGAAAGGCUCAUGUCAAUGACACUUGUACAUGGGUUAGUCGAUCCUAUGGGUUGGGGGAACUCUAACAAAUAGGGAAUCUUGUGCAUAUUCUAAAAGAGAAUCUAGUUAAAAUUCUUGAACUAGGAUGUGGCGAUCGAUGAAGAGUUAUAUAUAUAAGUGAGAGCCUCGGGAAGAGUUAGCUUUUCUAUUUAAUAGCCUGUGCACCCUGAAAUCGGCUCAGCCUGAGGUAGGGUCCAGCAGCUGGAAGGGCACUACAUGUUGCGUGGUGUCUGGUACACUACCUAAGGCCCUUGAAAAUAUGGAGAAUCAAAAGCGUCCACGCUCGAUCGUACUCAUUAUCACAUCAAGUCUUUAAGGUGAAUAUCCUCUAGUCGAUGGAAUAAUAUACGAAAGGGAAGUAGGCAAAAUAGAUCUGUAACUUUGGGAAAGGGAUUAGAUUUUAGGGUUGUGCAUGGCGUCCUAUUCCAAAACCUGUCGACUGUCAGUUUAUUACUAGAGCUGCUCCUACGGCAAGAGCGGGUAACCGUGUUCCAGCUAGGGGACUUAAUGAGAAUGGUUCAUUUGAUGUCCAUCCCCGCACAUCCAACAACAAACUAAGAACUGGUAUAGGCAAGGUAAACCAGACUUUUUAAUUGAGAAAAAAGCAUUGUAAUGGUCCCAACGUAUGUUCAUACAAUAUGAUUUAUACAAAGUGCUCUAAAUGCCAAAGUGAAGAUAUUCAACCCAGAGCGGCUAAUGGCGACAAUAAAUAUGACACUUUUAAAGUUUUCAAAUGCCUCGUCAACUAAUUAGUCAAGAAUAUGAAUGGAUUAGAAGAUUACCACAAUCCCUAUAAGCUAUCUAGCAAAACAACAUUGCUUUAUUGAAUAGCCAAUGGUCCAGAGCUACCAUAUGCUGUAUUAUGACUAAACAUCUCUAAGUCAGAAUCCGAGCAAGAAGCAAUGCAUGUGCUUGCUAUCCGCUUGUAGACCCGCACCAAGGUACCGCACCACCAGGGCACCAAGGCACCGCACAACCAUCGUACCAAAGCACCCAUGCUUCCUAAACUAGGAUCUGUGUUCUUACUCACUCCCCGCGAGCGCACCAAGGCCCCAUGGAACCAUGGGCACGAUGAAGGAACCUUGCUAAAAUCAAAAGAGCAUAAACCUAGUUUUGAUCAUCCAAAUAUUUUUAUAUCAUUCAUCCAUCUUCCUCACUAUUGCAUACUCCUUUCGAAAAAUACACGCUCUAAAUAUUUUUUAACGAUAUGUCAGUGUCACCUCAUAUGUUGGGGCGGUUUUAAUAAUUUCCCCAUGUUAGUUUUAUUAAUUUAAAUAUUUUAUAUCAUUUUGUUAUACGUAAAAAUAUGCACUCAAUCAUUGAUUAAAGGUUACUUCAUGCAUUGGAAAUAUUUUUCUAAUGUUUUUAUAUUUUUAAAAUAUUUUUUAAAUUUUCUUAUUUAUUUUUAUUUAUUUUUUGAAUUCUCAUAUGUAAUGUUUGAUAAAAAAAUAUAUUUUCUUAAUGAAAAUUAUCAUUUACAAAUUAUUUGAUUCUUUUGUGAGUGCAUUGGCUUAGUCUUAUGUCCAAACAUGCAGUUCUGGUCUGCACACGUCUAGUAUGAUUCUUUGGCAAAAUAAUGUCUACUCUUGUCAGUUAGGUUUUUUUUGCAUAUAUAAGGGGGUGUAGAGGUGUUGAAGACACUUUAAGUAAAUUGUCGCUAGAUAGCAUAGGCGCUCAUUAGGCAUUUUAGUGUGCAGUGGGCACGUGACAGCAUGCAUAGCUUGUUCAUACGAGUUAUCGGUGCUUACAAAACAAUGUUGAUCAUGCGUCAUUGUGCACUGGUUUUGGCUAUCGGUGGCAUCAUCCAUGACGGGG
rnacentral:rRNA from 1 species